ACCACGGUUUUACACUCGGCGGCUCACGUUACUGCUGUCUUGGAAAGGGAGGAGUGAACGGAGGGGUACUCAGUUGGUUGCAAUCUGCAACCACACCACUAGAUGCCGCCAAAUCCUACAUACUGUCCCUUUUUAAAUCAUGGAUGACCAACGCGUUUUGAAUUCUGAUGAAGACUUGUUAAGUCGAAAUGCGUUGAUCAUCCGUGAUUUAGUACCAAGGACUUCCUUCAAAAGUAAGCUGGACAGUCAUUACUUUUUAUUUGUGGAAAACGUAUCAGUUUUGAUUUUCUCCUCACAGUAUUUUAACUAACUUCAGUUGUUCCUGGAGGACUUGACACAUAGCUAUAUUAUAUAACAUAACUUUUUUUUUUUAAAUUUUGUGGAACCUGUGGCUCAUUUUCUUGCUUGCAGUCUCAUUAGUCAACCAGCACAUUGCAGCUGUUAAAGAAAUAUUAUUCUUUUCAUUUUAAUACUGAUUGUGGUAUCACAGUGAAUUGGUGAACAUAAAGAUAUGUUGCACUGUUUAUCGUAUAACUAUUUAUAGGUUGUCAUGUUAUUUUUUUCGUGUGUAGUGAGAAAGAAUAUUUUGUUUUCAGAAAAAUAUAUGGAUUCAGCAAGUGCCUUUGAAAUGAUUGUUGCUAUAUAUUUAGUGUACUGUACUUAUGCUGCUCAAUGAUACAAUAUGUAUUAUUAAUAUUCAUCAGAUUAUUUAUCUUAACACGGCAGCCUCUUCUUGUUCCUCUUGAUUAUAAAUAUUGCUGUUCUAAACUUCCACCAACACAAAGAUCUCUUCUACUGAAUAGUACUGUUAUUGGCUUGCUGGAAUCAAUUAUAUUUGCCAAUUUAUGUUUUUUGUUGUUGUUUUUUUUUUACUAAAAAUUGAGCUAUUUUCUGAACUAGAAAUGAAAUGUUGUAAUGUACUGUAAGAGAAUACCAACAAAUUUAUAGCUUUGCAAAUGGAAAUAUUAAAUAAGUCUCACUUCAUUCUUUGUGUGGUUUAUUACUGUUCUGUUCUUAAUAAUAAUAUUUUUAUUAUUACCAGUCAUUAGGUGUAUAAUUUUUUUUCUAAGUACCUUCUAUCUUAUUACUUUGAAUUUAAUUUUACCAGAACAGUCAAAUGUAAAGAUAUUGAUUGCAGCACCAGAAAACAUGACCGUGUCAUGACAUGUCGUCUGUUGCCAUAGUAACCAUUUGUUGAAAUACAUUUGACCUCGAGCAGGAGGCAGAAGACAUCAAAACGGAUACAUCUGGGUGUCUUCAACUGCACCCGAACAAGGUAUGGUUGAAGAUGAUACUUUUUUUUUGCUGAGGAGCCAUGAUGUGUCUUUGCUAUUUCUUUUGUAUAAAGAAGCUGUAAAGAAAUUAAUUUUUCAGUUUCACUUCAUUUCAGAGGCCCAUUAAAUGAUUUGUAAUAAGUGAUGCCAUUCUGUUUUUUCAAAUGUCUUUAUCUAUAAUUCUAGUAUAUUGGUAAUUACUUCCUGUUCCUUUUAAUCUGCUCGUCUAUUCUCCUGUGGAAGGUUCAUCCUCAUUAAACUAGUGUGCUGUUAUACAUUUCCUUUCUGUAACCAAAAGAAUAUUCAUCAAAUACGACUUAAGGGAUUACUCCCAAUAUGACAUUCUUGGGAUUCUUUUGCAAGAAAACCUUCAAAACAUUAUUUAUAAUAAAAUCUAGUUCUAAAAGUUCAUCAGCCGUUCUUAUAUAGACAUUCUUAAUAUGAUCUCCUAGCUCAGAUUAGGAUCUAUUUUUCACAUGCAUACAACAGUUUUGUGUCUCGAGUAGCAAUAGCUUGAUGUCAUUUCCAUCUAAUUUUCACCUCUCCAUCCCCUCUAGAUUCUGUCUGAGGUUGCCGGCCAGCAGAGGAUCAGAGAUGAUCUCCAAGCGGCCAUCGUAGAGAAUGAACUUGUUUGGAGUUUGGCCUAGGUCCGGCUGGCUUUGUUGCCUCCUGAGGCCUGCCAAAGAGCAACGCCACAAUCAUCCAGCACGGUCCCAGCUGCUCGCUGAGGUCCAGCAGCUCUCAUCAACAAUCGAAUCAGUUCAUCCUGGAGUCCAGGUGGACGUUCGUGUCAAAUAUGAAGAAGGUGUCCCUGAGAUAUCGUGUUCACGAGAAUGGUUCGGACGGACGGACAACCAAAAAACAUAACGCCACGGCUGUUGCCAGCACGGAGACAUAAAAAAUUAACAAGUAUAUAUAUAACCGUAUAAUAAAGGUUUUCAAAAAGUA